CGCGGCCUAUCAGCUUGUUGGUGAGGUAACGGCUCACCAAGGCAUCGACGGGUAGCUGGUCUGAGAGGACGAUCAGCCACACUGGGACUGAGACACGGCCCAGACUCCUGCGGGAGGCAGCAGUGGGGAAUCUUGCGCAAUGGGCGAAAGCCUGACGCAGCAACGCCGCGUGGGGGAUGAAUGCCUUCGGGUUGUAAACCCCUUUCAGCAGGGACGAAAAUGACGGUACCUGCAGAAGAAGCUCCGGCCAACUACGUGCCAGCAGCCGCGGUAAUACGUAGGGAGCGAGCGUUGUCCGGAAUUAUUGGGCGUAAAGAGCUCGUAGGCGGUUCAGUAAGUCGGGUGUGAAAACUCAAGGCUCAACCUUGAGACGCCACUCGAUACUGCUGUGACUUGAGUCCGGUAGAGGAGUGUGGAAUUCCUGGUGUAGCGGUGAAAUGCGCAGAUAUCAGGAGGAACACCAGCGGCGAAGGCGGCACUCUGGGCCGGUACUGACGCUGAGGAGCGAAAGCAUGGGGAGCAAACAGGAUUAGAUACCCUGGUAGUCCAUGCCGUAAACGUUGGGCACUAGGUAUGGGAUCAUAUCAACGGAUUCCGUGCCGUAGCUAACGCAUUAAGUGCCCCGCCUGGGGAGUACGG
rnacentral:rRNA from 1 species